UACGUAGGGGGCAAGCGUUGUUCGGAAUGACUGGGCGUAAAGGGUGCGUAGGCGGUGUAGCAAGUCAGAAGUGAAAUACCUAGAGCUUAACUCAGGUGCUGCUUCUAAAACUGCUAUACUUGAGUGCAGUAGAGGAAAGUGGAAUUCCUAGUGUAGCGGUGGAAUGCGUAGAUAUUAGGAGGAACAUCAGUGGCGAAGGCGACUUUCUGGACUGUAACUGACGCUGAGGCACGAAAGUGUGGGGAGCAAACAGG
rnacentral:rRNA from 1 species